CAACCAUCAAGCCCUGCUUGUGUUGGGGUCCUGCGGCUGCCCGCAGGCCCUGAAAACCAGUGGCGGGCUCGCUAGUCACACCGAGCGCAGUAGCACAUCUCGCUCAGGGCGUACGGCGGGUUCUUGCCGUGAAACCCCCCCCCUUCCAAA
rnacentral:misc_RNA from 1 species